UGGAUACACACGGAGAAAUAGGAUGCA
rnacentral:piRNA from 1 species